AUGGUUAGGUCUGUUUUUCUAUGGUGUAGAAUUGUUUUGAGGGAAUUCCUCGAGCAGGGACCAUAUAUCCCAGCCUCCUUUCUUUGCAGAUGUGGCCCAGUGACUGGAUCGCACCAACAAUGUGUGAGUGGAAGUGAGGUGUCAUUUAUGAGCCCUCAGAAUUAUAAGAAUUUAAAUGUUCGUCACCUGCUGUUGAGACAUCACUGACCUUGAAAUGCUACCAAAUCAUGUCAGCGUUCCGUCUGAUUCUCGGGAGGACAGCAGUCAAAGCAUGAACACUCUAUUAUUAAUAAAAGGGAGAGACUGACAGGUCA
rnacentral:lncRNA from 1 species